rnacentral:lncRNA from 12 species
UUACAACCCAGUUCCAAGAGAUGCUGGAUGCAGGAGAGGCAAAAGAAAGAGGAAGGUAAAAGUGCCUCUCAGAAUUUGACCCACACAUUUUGGCUUAAAAUGUGAUUCAAAACUCCAGGAAUGUUAGACAAGGCAAAUUAAGACACUAAAUCAAUAAAAUUCAGCCACCAACAAAUAAUCACAACACGGGGGGGAGGUAACAAAGCAAAACAAAACACAAACAACAAACAAACAAAAAAAAAACAAACAAAAAAACUCAAACACCAAUCAUCCUCCCCCCCCCAAAAAAAACCCCAAAAAACAAAAAACAAAAAAAAAAAACAAACAAAACAAACAAACAAACAAAAAAACCUCCAAACCAGCAGCGCCCUUCCCUUCUUUGCAGACCCGUGCUGGUGGCAUUCAGUGCAGAGAAUGUUCCACACAGCCCCCAGCCCGUGUCAACUGCUCUACCUUGGAAAGCAGCAUGGGGCUAAAACAGCUGCACCGGGCACCUCUGAGCCCUGCCCCACAGGUUUUUUGUGAUGGGAAGAGUCACACGGACAGAGGGUCAUGGCCAGGAGGGUGUGGGUCUGGAGGAGUCAGGGAGCCAGGAGUGGUGAGGGCACAUGGCAGGGGCAUGUGAGGAGGCAGGGGGCUGGUAGGGGCAGAGAAUGGGGACAGGGGGAGGGGGCAGAGUGAGGGCAGGGAGCAAGCAGGGUCCUGUCAGAUAGGGGCAGGGGCUGGGGAAGGAGGCAGACGGACUGGGGAGGAGCUGGGGCGCGGGGAGAAGCAGGGGCAGGGGCAAGGGCGGGGGCAGGGACAGCGACAGGGGCAGGGACAGGGACAAAGGCAGGGGCAAGGGCAAGGGCAUGGACAGGGACAGGGACAGGGACAGGGACAAGGGCAGGGACAGGGACAGGAACAGGGACAAGGGCAGGGGCAGGGGCAGGCCCCCCCCCCCCCCCCCCCCCCCCCCCCCCCCCCCCCCCCCCCCCCCCCCCCCCCCCCCCCCCCCCCCCCCCCCCCCCCCCCCCCCCCCCCCCCCCCCCCCCCCCCCCCCCCCCCCUGCAGCAGCGCCCCCUUCUGCCGGCUGCCAAGGCUGCAGCCGCGCUCGGCGCUGCGGGCAGCUGCGCAUCCCCCGCAUCCCCCGCAUCCCCCGCAUCCCUCGCGCUGGGAGGGAGGCUCGAGACACAGGGGAAAUGUAGAGCGUGGCUGGGAAUUAGGAAAAGGGACUUAAAAAAAACAAACAAACAAAAAACAACCUAGAAGACAGUCGUUUGCAAGCAGAUGCUAGGAAGUCUCCGGAUUCACUGGUGGACGGGUGCGUGGCUUCAGCUUCCAGCCUGUGUAUGUGCUGCAAAAACAGAUAAUAAAAAGAAUACAAAUGAAAGAACAUCUGAUGUAGUCAUCAGAUCUAACUACAGCACUUUAAUAUGAAUUGCAACUCCAGAUGUUGUCUUAAGA